rnacentral:lncRNA from 1 species
UGGGAUUAACAUAUUACCCAAGAAUUGUAAAAUAUUGUUCUUAUCAACAAAAUAAAAUAAUAAUAAACUAUUAAUAUAUGAUGUUUGAUAGUACGUUUUUAACUCAUGUGGCUCUAGUGAGUGAUUCAACCAAAUGAUUAACAAAACUUAAAAAAAAAUGAAAAGCAAUGUAAGUCACAGUCAGAGGAAAUUUCACCACAC